GUCCACGCCCUAAACUAUGUCAACUGGGUGUUCGGGAAGCGAUUUCUGAGUACCGUAGCUAACGCGUGAAGUUGACCGCCUGGGGGAGUACGGCCGCAAGGUUAAAACUCAAAGGAAUUGACGGGGACCCGCACAAGCGGUGGAUGAUGUGGAUUAAUUCGAUGCAACGCGAACAACCUUACCUACCCUUGACAUGUCCGAGAGCCUGCUGAGAGGCGGGUGUGCCCGAAAGGGAAUCGGAACACAGGUGCUGCAUGGCUGUCGU
rnacentral:rRNA from 1 species